GNAGNAUGNUNCUGAUACCUUUCCGAGUUUCCCGCUCAUAACCCUUUGUGAACCUUUAUACCUAGUUGCCUCGGCGGCGCGCCUCCGGGCGUGCCCGCCGGUGUUACAGUCUCUCAGUUUGAAACCGACGUUACUUCUGAGUGUUCUAAGCGAACUGUUAAAACUUUCAGCAACGGAUCUCUUGGCUCCAGCAUCGAUGAAGAACGCAGCGAAACGCGAUAAGUAGUGUGAAUUGCAGAAUUCAGUGAAUCAUCGAAUCUUUGAACGCACAUUGCGCCUCCCAGUAUCCUGGGAGGCAUGCCUGUCCGAGCGUCGUUUCAACCCUCGAGCCCCCGUGGCCCGGUGUUGGGGCGCCGUCCAGCUUCGCGCUGGGCGGGCCCUCAAAUACAGUGGCGGUCCCGCGCGUCCCAGCCCUUGCGUAGUAAUUUAUUCUCGCAUCGACUGUCGAGCGGGCUUACCAGCCUCGAAACCCCCUACAAAGACCGCUCCGGCGGCACAUGGUUGACCUCGGAUCAGGUANGAAUACCCGCUGAACUUAAGCAUAUCAAUAAGCGGGNGGGA
rnacentral:rRNA from 1 species